GCCGGCAUAGAUCAGAGGCCAGAGCGGCUGUUUUGUAAACAGCGGGUCGCAAGUUCAACUCUUGCUGUCGGCU
rnacentral:tRNA from 1 species